rnacentral:ncRNA from 1 species
AAAGACUUAGUCCUAACCUUACCAUUAAUUCUUACCAGACAUAUACAUGCAAGUAUCCGCGUUCCAGUGUAAAUGCCCUCAGCCUCUUACCACCAAGACAAAGGAGCGGGCAUCAGGCGCACCACUAUCUGUAGCCCAAGACGCCUUGCCUAGCCACACCCCCACGGGCACUCAGCAGUAAUUAACAUUAAGCAAUAAGUGUAAACUUGACUUAGUCAUGGUAACAUCAGGGUUGGUAAAUCUUGUGCCAGCCACCGCGGUCACACAAGAAACCCAAAUUAAUCGUACACGGCGUAAAGAGUGGUAUCAUACUAUCAAACUGGCUAAGAUGAAAACAUAACUGAGCUGUCAUAAGCCUAAGUUAUGCCUAACUCCCACCACAAUCAUAGCACUAAUGAUCAACCAUACCCCACGAAAGCUAAGACACAAACUGGGAUUAGAUACCCCACUAUGCUUAGCCCUAAAUCUUGAUGCUUACCUUACCAAAGCAUCCGCCUGAGAACUACGAGCACAAACGCUUAAAACUCUAAGGACUUGGCGGUGCCCCAAACCCACCUAGAGGAGCCUGUCCUAUAAUCGAUAACCCACGAUACACCCAACCACUCCUUGCCAAAGCAGCCUACAUACCGCCGUCGCCAGCCCACCUUCGCUGAAAGCACAACAGUGAGCACAAUAGUCUAAACCCACUAGCAAGACAGGUCAAGGUAUAGCCUAUGGAGUGGAAGAGAUGGGCUACAUUUUCUAAAAUAGAAAACUCAACGGAAAGAGACGUGAAACCGUCCCUAGAAGGCGGAUUUAGCAGUAAAGAGAAACAAUACAGUUCCCUUUAAGUUGGCCCUGGGGCACGUACAUACCGCCCGUCACCCUCCUCACAAGCUACCAAACCCCAAUAAUUAAAACCUGCACUAGCUGAAGAUGAGGUAAGUCGUAACAAGGUAAGCGUACUGGAAAGUGCGCUUAGAAUAC